rnacentral:rRNA from 1 species
UACGUAGGGUGCGAGCGUUGUCCGGAAUUACUGGGCGUAAAGAGCUUGUAGGUGGUUUGUCGCGUUGUUCGUGAAAUCUCACGGCUUAACUGUGAGCGUGCGGGCGAUACGGGCAGACUAGAGUACUGCAGGGGAGACUGGAAUUCCAGGUGUAGCGGUGAAAUGCGUAGAUAUCUGGAGGAACACCGGUGGCGAAGGCGACAUCCUGGACCGGUAUUGACGCUGAGGCGCGAAAGCCAGGGGAGCAAACGGG